rnacentral:rRNA from 1 species
GGCAUGCUUAACACAUGCAAGUCGCACGGGCGGUGGCAACACUGUCAGUGGCGGACGGGUGAGGAACACGUAGGAACAUGUCCAGAGGUGGGGAAUAACGCUGGGAAACUGGCGCUAAUACCGCAUAUGAGCUGAGGCUCAAAGCCGUGAGGCGCCUUUGGAGUGGCCUGCGUCCGAUUAGCUUGUUGGUGGGGUAAUGGCUUACCAAGGCGACGAUCGGUAGCUGGUCUGAGAGGACGAUCAGCCACACUGGGACUGAGACACGGCCCAGACUCCUACGGGAGGCAGCAGUGGGGAAUAUUGGACAAUGGGCGCAAGCCUGAUCCAGCAAUGCCGCGUGUGUGAAGAAGGUCUUCGGAUUGUAAAGCACUUUCGGCGGGGACGAUGAUGACGGUACCCGCAGAAGNNAGCCCCGGCUA